rnacentral:Y_RNA from 1 species
GGCUCGUCUGAAGGGAGUUAUUUCAAUUAAUUGUUCACAGUCAGUUACAGAUAGAAUUUCUUGUUCUACUUCACAACUUACUAUUGCAGUUGACUAGUCUUUU